GGGGCGUAUUGCCCGGUUGGGGCGCAUUAUACCAAUUUACCCUACACUCUGAAAUAAUACUAAACGCCAAUAGUUUAAAACUUAAUAUAUUUUAACUUUUGUUAAGUUUAUACAUGCCGCAGUUUAAGAGAUAAGCUGCAUUUGUUUAAAAUUUUAAACUAUACUAGACUGAUGCUAAGAUAAUGAUGGCGAUGUAUUGUGUCAGUGCUUUGGAUCGUUUGUCUCGUCAAUAAUGUUUACGUUCAUCAUCACGUUUGUGAUUCACUAUCUUAAUUCCGAUCAACAUUGUGGUGUUGAAAGUCCUAAAUAUAGUGUUUGGGAGGCCUAAAACUCCAAUAAGUUGACGAAGAAACCAUUGUCGAUUCGACGUCCAUGCCACCCAAAGCAGUACAUCAUCAUUCGCAGGGGAAAAUUAGACUACACAUUCUGAACAAGAUAUUUUUCCCGCUGGUACUCCGUUGUGCUUCCUUCAAUGGAUUCGCUAUCCUUUCGCCAGUGAUCGACAGACAAAUGAAAUACUAGCGAGUCCCCGGAAUCUCCAGCUUGCAACAAUAAUGCUGAGGAUCAACUUCGCAUCUAAGUGUAUGGCAUUAGCGGCCCGGAAACACCACUUUUGGUUUGCGACAAAAUAGCUUGGAACUUUCUUGAAAGAUUUCUAAACUUUUGGAAUAAAUAAACGUUUGUGUUUCAUUUGUUUUGA